rnacentral:lncRNA from 1 species
ACAAGCCACCACACACGCAGUUCCCACAAGGUGUCCCCAAGAACUUCGGAGCUCAGAACAGGUGAUACUCACUCCUCCUUUGGGGAGAGGCCGUGGGCAUGGCUUCACUUUUCAGCUGGAUUAUAAAGGAUGUGAAGUUAGCCUGACUGAGCAGAAGGGGAGGGAAGACAGCACUCCAGGAAAGUGGAACGAACAACAGAGUCCAAAGGGCCCUCCAGCCUACCCACUCCCAAGUACCUGGAAGAAGCUCUCCACGUGUUCCCUUGGGGCCUCCUCCCGGAGUGCAGGGUCAUACAGGUUGAAGGCCCAAUUAAGCCUGUCAUCUACAGUUCCCCGAAGAAUCACGGACAAACCAGCCACAAAGUCCUGGGAAGGAGGCAGGAGGGAGCUGUGUCCUCGGGUACUCUUCACCCAACUCCUUCUCUGGGUUUGGCCUGGAGAUCCUGGCCCUGAACUCCAGGAAACAGGCUUCCCUGGCCCACCUCGCCCAGCUCACCUCAAAACUGACCGAGCCAUCAUGGUUGGUGUCAAAGGCAUUGAAGAGAAAAGUGGCAUAGGUGCUGGAGUCUGCAGGGUGAGUGUGGAGAAGUUGGCUUCCACACAGGAGAGGACUUCCUCCCUCUAAGGAGCUCCCCAUACCCCCCAUCACCUUGGCAUUCCCAGCUCCUCCAGAAUCCCUCCCUCCCUCAGCCUAGAGAAGGACAACUGCUUCCCCUUGGGCCUUGUCCCCUCACCUCCUUGAGGAAAGAACUGGGAGUAAAUCUGCUUGAAGUUCUCCUCAUUGACAAUUCCGCUGGGACAUUCCUGGAAGGAGAGGGCACCAGGCUGAGGGCAGAGACAAAAUCCCCUUCCGUUCACCGCCCCCACCCUCCAUGGCCCAAGACUCCCAGGGAGGGGGAUAAUCUUCAAGCCUCCAGAGGACUCACCACGUGGCUCAUGUGAUGGGAGGGAAGACUUCUUUCCCAGUGCACAAAUAAAAAACAUGGAACGAAACUGACAGUCUACAGGCGCCACUUCCGUUCUGGCCCCGCCCCAGAACCUCCAGCUAGAAGUUCAGUCUCAGGGCCUUGCCUCCCUUCCGCCCACACCUCAAGCAUCCAAGCCAUGCUUUCUGGGAAGCUGUGGACCGGCUUGGGUCCUCCUGUCCCACCCUCGCUGAGUUUGGCCUCGCCUUGCACUCACGUUCUUGAAGCCCCGGUACAGGACCUGCAACUCCUUGCGCGUGAAUUUGGUUUGCUCCUGCAGCUGCUCCAGACCCUCAGGCCGGUGACACACGGUGGACAAUUCAAAUUCAUCGUCCACGCUGUCUGCGGGAGCGGUGAGGACAGCCGCGCCUCAGGCCCAGCCUCCGCGACCCCUCUUCAAAUCACUGCCCCAUUCACCCCCUCCCCGCCCCCCGGUCCCAUCCGAUGCCGGAGACCAGGCUGCCAGUUCCCUGGGCCCCGAGCCAAGGACACUGAGGUAAGGAGAAAAGAUGAUGGCCAUCUUCGAGGUCUAUCAGCGGGCCAAGGCCUGGCCUGGCCCCAGAGCCAGGGAUCCGACUCAGUGCUCGCCCCGCGGCCCUCGAUCCCUCGUUGGAGGGGAAGGCCCCCAGCCGCAUCUUCGUUUUAGAAAGGGAGGAGUGGGAAAAGCCAGUUCAAGAGGGGGCGUCUGAGGGUCAGAGCUCCGGGCC